GAACCAAUAAAAAUUUGAAAUUUAUGCAUUUUAUUGUACACAAUGUACAUGUAUGGGGCAGCUGCUCGUUUAUGACGUCACAAAUCCAACAUUUAAAAUUCUAAUAACUUUCUUAAUCAUUAAUGGAUUUUCCUCAAACCUUCACCAAUAUUUUUAAAAUCAUUUUUUCUGCAAUAUUUACAACAAACUUUUCUUCAUGGUGAACUUCCCCUUCAAAUAUUGACCCUUUAUUGCAUCCUUGGUUCACAAAAUCACCACCAAAAUGAAUUACUCUUUUUCAACUUUGAAAUUAUUACCCUCCUGUAUAAUGAAAUGCACUAUGCAGAGCCAUUGUACGAAGAGUUUUGUCUACUUGAAUUAAUGUGCUCAGAGUGUGUUGACAUGAAUCUUGUGCUUAACCUCAUAGCAAAUGUUAAAGACAUUUGCCAAUAUUGCCCAUAAGGAACAGAAAAUCCUGAAUAAGAAAAAAAAUUAAACUUUUGCAGACACUUCCAAUAUAUGACUGAAAAAUAUAUGUUGCAUGUAUAUAAUCUUAUGGGGAGAUUAGUGUGACACUAUAUGGAAUAAGAGUGGGAUGGCAUUAAAUAAUGAUUUUUUUUAGCACAAUUUUUUCAGGGCAUCAUUUUAUUGCAUAUCACAGACACAAGUGACAAAUGAGACCUUGCUGCUAAAACUUCCAAAAUGGCAUAACUUUCUUUUACAUUUGAUUUUUUUGAAAUUUUCAGCAUCAAUGCUCAUUUGAUUUUUCUCUUUUUAUUCAAUUCAACUCUUUUGUUUCUGUGAUUUCCCAUUUAUUCUUCAUCCUUAUUUGAAUUCAUGAAUAUGUACUCAAUAUGGGUCCAUAUAUUUUUAGAUUGUUCAGUGGUGAUUUUCUCCUUGGUACAAUCAUAACGUAAUAGUAUGAUUUUGUAUGUGAGGGGGCUACUGUCAUUUUCCUUAUAAACAACAUUCUUUGGGUUUGAUUUUUUUGUUUUGGUUAAGUGCAGCCCAUUUAAGCAAAAUAGCAUACAACACUUCUAGUAUGAUGCCAUAGAUAUUUUAUUUUCAUCCCAAAAUUUUCCUUUUCUUAUUUUUGUUAAUGAUGUAGAUUGUUGAGGCGGUCAAAGAUUACAAGGGUGAAGGCACAGUGACUCCAGUGGAGAAGACUGCAUCAAUGUGUAUCAUCUUAUAAAGAGAAUGGACAAACAUUAUGCAGGUUUACUUCACAAAAUUGAUAGUCCUCAUUUCUCCACAACUUUAAAGAAGAAUGAAUCAUUCAUGCCCAAACAUGAAAAACCCUUGACUCCUUUUGAAUGCAGUUUUAUAAGAAAGAUAUCCAGUCCCUCUUGAAUACCAGUAUUUAAUUUUGGAAGUGAGUUAUGUCCAACUUCUAAUAUUUUUGGUUCAUUUUCUAAGAUGUAAUGCUGUAUUAUUUACUGUAGUGCAAUUUGGUAAGUUUUACAUCUGUAUAGUGAGCCUCCUGUCUAUCAUGAUCUUUAUAAUCAAUAUUUAAUAUUGUUGAAGUCAACAACUAUGAAAAUGACUAGAAUUGCACCAAGGAAAUAAUCUGAAUUACAUAGUGUGCUCUGUUAAAGAAUCUUCAGCUUAACACAUGCAUCCCUUAUAAUGUAGAAUGAAAAUGAUUUUAUUUACAAUUUCAAUGCCUUUUCCAUUUUGUCAAGUAAACCUGCAUCUUGUAUUUCAAUCUCUAAGCUACUUGAAAUCAUACUUGCCCCUAUGCAUUACCCACUUGUGGCCCAAUUAAUGACAAGUUGGAUUAAAAGGGGAGGAAUCACCUCCCCCUAUCCAUACUUCGAUGAAAUAUUUGAGCCUGUUGGUAAAGCUGUGAGUGAUAGAUUUCUUAUAGUAUUCAUUAUUUUAAAAAUUAAUGAACGUUCUAUAAUGUACAUUGUUAGAUUUACUAGGGUUCACAUUUAUGAAAUAUUUGUCCUCUGAUGUUCUUGAAUGACCAUAUAGAUGCUGUGAUACAAAAAUGUUUCAAAAUUAAUGGGAUUUUUUUUCUAACUCAAGAUUCAAUAUUAUGUACAUGUAUGCAAGGUUGAUUUAUUAUUUUAUAGGAGUACGUGUAAUUAUAGUUGUAGCCAUUUACUAAGAUAAUUCUACUUUGAAUAAAGUGUUAAGAAGAAAUGUGUAUUAUUUCUUGGUGGGUGCAAAUUAUUCUCAGGGAAGUUUACAGUCAUUACCUUCACUUUAUAUCAUCAACCCCCAUCAACCAUACAAUAAUAAAAUCAUUGGAUUUGUAUAAAAAACCUAAAUAAUAAUUGAAAAAUCAAGUAAUUUUUGGUCUUUGCUAAGAAUUUGCUGUCUGAUCAUACACUCCAUAAAUGUAAUAUGUUAUGUAAGCACAUGUCACCCAUUCAAUAUUUAAGUCUUGGAAUGUAUUCCAAGUGUGCUUUGUUGAAUUUAACAAGUAAGAAUACACUUUUUUUUAAUUUGGUUUAAUACAUCUUGUUCCAUCCCCCCUUUUUUUUUUUGGGGGGGGGGUGGGGUGUUGGUUGGCAGCUGGUGAACAAAUUUUUGCUAUAUUAUUUUAUGAUUUAUCUUUCAUCUGAUGGUCCUGAUAAUGUUAACAUAGCAUUAAUAUUAGAGGAGAUAAUGGCUGCUGAAAGAAGUUUGGUGUCAAAAAAUUAUCUUUAAAGUCCAGGAAAUUAUUUGAAAUAAAAGCAGAAGUUAUAAAAUCAAA